UCUCCCAGCAUAGGAGUGAGACACUGCCCA
rnacentral:misc_RNA from 1 species